rnacentral:rRNA from 1 species
AUGAAUGCUGGCGGCGUGGAUAAGGCAUGCAAGUCGAGCGGCCCGCAAGGGCAGCGGCAGACGAAGUAGUAAUACGCAGGUACGUACCAAAGAGUCUGGCACAGCUCGUCGAAAGACGGGGUAAUUCCAGAUGGUCUCGUAAGAGUAAAGGAGCAAUCCGCUCUUUGAACGGCCUGCGCAGUAUCAGCUAGUUGGUAAGGUAACGGCUUACCAAGGCUAUGACACUUAGGGGAGCUGAGAGGCUGACCCCCACUGAUAGCACUGAGACACGGGCUAUACACCUACGGGUGGCUGCAGUCGAGAAUCUUCCACAAUGGACGAAAGUCUGAUGGAGCGACGCCGCGUGGUUGAUGAAGUCCUUCGGGACGUAAAAACCUUUUAUGGAGGAGGAAGUAAUUGACGUUACUCCAUGAAUAAGGGGCUCCUAACUCUGU